AUUGAACGCUGGCGGCAUGCCUUACACAUGCAAGUCGAACGGUAACAGGUUAAGCUGACGAGUGGCGAACGGGUGAGUAAUGUAUCGGAACGUGCCCAGUCGUGGGGGAUAACUGCUCGAAAGAGCAGCUAAUACCGCAUACGACCUGAGGGUGAAAGCGGGGGAUCGCAAGACCUCGCGCGAUUGGAGCGGCCGAUAUCAGGUUAGGUAGUUGGUGGGGUAAAGGCCUACCAAGCCUACGAUCUGUAACUGGUCUGAGAGGACGACCAGCCCCACUGGGACGGGGACACGGCCCAGACGCCUAGGGGAGGCAGCAGUGGGGGAUUGUGGAGAAUGGACGCAAGUCUGAUCCAGCCAUGCCGCGUGCGGGAAGAAGGCCUUCGGGUUGUAAACCGCUUUUGUCAGGGAAGAAAAGGUUCUGGUUAAUACCUGGGACUCAUGACGGUACCUGAAGAAUAAGCACCGGCUAACUACGUGCCAGCCGCCGCCGUAAUAC
rnacentral:rRNA from 1 species